rnacentral:misc_RNA from 1 species
GAUGAAGAACGCAGCGAAAUGCGAUAAGUAAUGUGAAUUGCAGAAUUCAGUGAACCAUCGAAUCUUUGAACGCACAUUGCGCCCGCCAGUAUUCUGGCGGGCAUGCCUGUUCGAGCGUCAUUUCAACCCUCAAGCCCCCGGGCUUGGUGUUGGGGAUCGGCACAAGGCGCUGGCACCCUCGGGAGCCCGCGCCCGCCGUCCCCCAAAUCCAGUGGCGGUCACGCCGUGUGUACCUCAGCGUAGUAGCAACACCUCGCUCCGGAACCAUUCUGUGAACCACGCCGUAAAACCCCCGACUUUUUUCUGGUUGGCCUCGAAUCAGGUAGGACUACCCGCUGAACUUAAGCAUAUCAAUAAGCGGAGGA